UACGUAGGGGGCAAGCGUUGUCCGGAUUCAUUGGGCGUAAAGAGCGUGUAGGCGGCCAGGUAGGUCGGUUGUGAAAACUGGAGGCUCAACCUUCAGAGGUCGACCGAAACCAUCUGGCUAGAGUCCGGGAGAGGAGAGUGGAAUUCCUGGUGUAGCGGUGAAAUGCGCAGAUAUCAGGAAGAACACCCGUGGCGAAAGCGGCUCUCUGGACCGGUACUGACGCUGAGGCGCGAAAGCGUGGGGAGCAAACGGG
rnacentral:rRNA from 1 species